UAAGCUGAAUUAACCCUUUCCUCCCCAGUGAUGGACUAUGAUGUGGAAGUGUAAGCUGAAUUAACCCUUUCCUCCCCAGCUUGCUUUUGGUAGUGAUGUGUCAUUGCAGCAAAGGAAACUCUAAGACAAUCAACUCUUCUAAAUUCCUAUAUUUUAACCCUUUCACUACUCAGUUCAUAAAGUGUUAUGGAAUCCAUAGCUUAUUUGUCUCUGUGUUUUGCACUUUCUGUAAUUAAAAUGUAUACAGUAAGUGUCCUAAACAUCCACAUUUUAAAAAAUUAAUGCUAAAUGCUGUUCUGACAUUGGCUAAGUGCCCUGCAAUGGAUUUUUGUCAUUUCUUUUGAAAUCUUCUUUUCUAUUUGAAGACUUCCCUACCCUAUAAGUCUUAUGCAAAGUCAGAGCUUCCUAUUAUAGUAUCAGAAAAUAUCAACUACCUGCCAUCCCUCGCUCUGCUGGCACAUGACUUGGGCUCUGGUAAUCAGAUCCCCUUCCAGGGACAUUGCUCCGGAGCAGGUGAGAUAAAGAAGUGUGGUCAGAGAAGGAUUUGUUUUGGCAGAAGCAGCAGCCAAGUCACUGGGAGCCUGUGCCAGAGCAGGCUGUGUGCUCCCAUCCCAUGCUCGCUCUGUGCAGUGUCUGCGGUGUCCUCGCCAGUUUGGCUAUGAUGCACACCUCAAGCUAUGAAGUUGCACAGCCAGCCUCCUUUUGCACCUGCCAGUUUCUCAAGUCCACCUCUCGAGUCGUCUGGGAACUACCUUUUAGAAAAUAAGCCUUUCAGUUAUGUUUUUUGUUCUUUAACCAGCCAUUCCCUAAAACAAACAAACAAACAAAAACCUGUUUCCGUUCUCAACAUAAGGAAAUAUGGGUAAUCCCUUUCAGUUUGACAUCUUCCUCUUAAAACUAUGAGAUUCAUCAUGAGUUGGAAGAACCUCUUCAGCAUACAGUGCUCUCCUCUAGGCAGUGCCCAAGUCACACAUGGGCAGGCAGGUAACCCAGAGCACGUCUGCUAGGCUUCACUAAGCUAUUUGCCAAUAUGCCCGUUCAAAAGGGCAUGUUACCUCGUAUUCCUCCCAAAUACACUAGAAUACUGUUAGAAUACUGUUAUAAGCAUAAAUCCUACCUCACAGACAAUGGGAAGGAAGCCAUCAACCACGGAUAUCAACACAUUUUCUAUACUUUUGAGUAUUACUGGUGGAUUCAGACAAGAAAUCGACAAACGCAAGACUGCUUGGAAAGAGUCCCAGUGGAAGUGGCAAGAAAGCGACAAACGCAAGACUGCUUGGAAGGAGUCCCAGUGGGAGUGACAAACGUGGAGACUUAGGCUGUUGCCAGCGACAGUAGGAUUGCAGCAUCUCAAGUGCUCCACAGACAUAUGAGCUGGCUUAUCGGACAGCAGAGCACCUCAUGAUAUUAUAUGUAAGAAUGUUUUACAAAUGUCUUUCCUCUCAGACAGACAAAGGUUAAAAAAAAAUCCUCUUUAAAUAAGUUUAAUGUCCAAAUUCAUACUUUUGGCAAUACAAUAUUUAGGGUUUUACCAGUAAAAUUGUUAGCUAUUCUUAAAAAACCACAGUCAACGAAUUUGCAAUAAAUGUAUUAUUUUCAGAUCCAACCCCAAACCAUGGAUCAUCACAUACAUGACGAAAGAGGAAUCCUAAAAUAGAUAGAUGCUAUCAAUGGCACUGGGAUAAAUGAACUCAUUUUAGAGAAAGAGGAAACCUCCAAAUGAGAAGGGAACCUCUAAAUUGAAUCUUAGGAGAAUUUAAAAAUAGUGUUAUGUUCAUAAAGAGCUAGAGUGUUGUGAAAAGAAAGCAUAGAAAUGAAAAAUAUUGUGAUUGAAAAAACAAGUCAACAGAAGGAUUAAAGAUAAAGUUUACAAACACUCACAGAAAGCGUGUUGAAGGGUGAAAGGGUGGUGUUGAAGAGGGGUACCAAAGAGAUAGGAGGGUGGUCCAAGACUGCUUCCCUCCAGAUCUAAGCCUUGACAGAGAAGGACUUACCCAGCAUGCAGCACAUGAACGCAAAAAGACAGGCAUUCAGAAUAAACCAUAAAAUUUUAGAGCA